rnacentral:rRNA from 1 species
UACGUAGGUGGCAAGCGUUGUCCGGAUUUACUGGGCGUAAAGAGCGCGCAGGCGGUCGUGCAAGUCGCGUGUGAAAGCCCCCAGCUCAACUGGGGAACUGCGUCCUAAACUGCGAGGCUGGAGUGAGGUAGGGGUGUGUGGAACUUCCGGUGGAGCGGUGAAAUGUGUUGAUAUCGGAAGGAACGCCGGUGGCGAAAGCGACACACUGGGCCUUGUCUGACGCUGAGGCACGAAAGCCAGGGGAGCAAACGGG